ACGAACGCUGGCGGCGUGCUUAACCCCUGCAAGUCGAACGGUGAAGCGCCUUCCUUUUUGGUGGGUGUGGAUGAGUGGCGAACGGGUGAGUAACACGUGAGUAACCUGCCCCCUUCUUCUGGAUAACCGCAUGAAAGUGUGGCUAAUACGGGAUAUUCUGGGUCUGUCGCAUGAUGGGUCUGGGAAAGAUAUUGUUUCGGUGGGGGAUGGGCUCGCGGCCUAUCAGCUUGUUGGUGGGUGAUGGCCUACCAAGGCGGUGACGGGUAGCCGGCCUGAGAGGGUGGACGGUCACACUGGGACUGAGACACGGCCCAGACUCCUACGGGAGGCAGCAGUGGGGAAUAUUGCACAAUGGGCGCAAGCCUGAUGCAGCGACGCCGCGUGAGGGAUGGAGGCCUUCGGGUUGUGAACCUCUUUCGCCAGUGAAGCAGGCCUGCCUCGUUUGUGGGUGGGUUGACGGUAGCUGGAUAAGAAGCGCCGGCUAACUACGUG
rnacentral:rRNA from 1 species